UACGUAGGGGGCAAGCGUUAUCCGGAAUUACUGGGUGUAAAGGGAGCGUAGACGGUAAUGUAAGUCUGGAGUGAAAGGCGGGGGCCCAACCCCCGGACUGCUCUGGAAACUAUGUUACUAGAGUGCAGGAGAGGUAAGCGGAAUUCCUAGUGUAGCGGUGAAAUGCGUAGAUAUUACACAGAACACCGAUUGCGAAGGCAUCUCACGAAUCCGCUACUGACGCUGAUGCACGAAAGCGUGGGUAUCAAACAGG
rnacentral:rRNA from 1 species